GAAAAUGCUCCUGUAAUCGCUUCGAAGUAUUAGGAGAGCAGAAACGUCAGAAUAUAUAUAUGAAAGUGCAAUAUUAUUCGUGCACAAUGUAUGGUGUGACUAUUACGAAUUCAAAUAACCUUAAUUGUUAUGGAUUCUUGCACUGUUGCAAGUAUACAUACUUUGGAGAAUAAUGAUUGUUCGGGAUGGUAACAGGAUUGUUCCUGUACUUCAGAGAUAACGGGACAAGUCUGAUACAAAUAUUAAUAGAAGUAUGCAUUUAUGCUGAUUUCCAAAUGAUGAUGUCUUUAAAAAUAUAAAUAUAGUGUUAUGGAUUCUUUCACUGUUGCAAGUUAUACAUACUUCGGAGAAAAAUAAUUGUUCAGGAUGGUAACAGGAUUGUCCCUGUACUUCAGAGAUAACGAGACAAGUCUGGUACAUAUAUUAGUAGAAGUAUGCAUUUACGCUGAUUUCCAAAUGAUGAUGUCUUUAAUAAUAUAAAUAUAGGAAUUUCCAAGAAUCCAGAACGAUGUGUCUAUCCAGAUUUUUUGUGUCUGCAAUGGAUAAUGCUGUGCAUUUUCUGUGUUAAGAACUUACGAUGGAUCGCCUCCAACGCAUACUAUAGGAGUACCUUUAACUGGAACUAACCUAUGAAGCACAAUUAACGAAGAUGAAAUAUCUGAGCAUGAACAUUAUAAUGAUAUAGAAAGCAAAUUGCCUUUGUACCUUUGGGAAGAAAUGAAAUGUCCGUGUCAAUAGUUGAAACUUAGCUUUAGCUAUGUAUGAUUUUCUUUAUAUUGACUUUUUAUCAAAAGU